UCUUAGACAAUGGGCGCAAGCCUGAUCUAGCGAUGCCGCGUGAGUGACGAAGGUCUUAGGAUCGUAAAGCUCUUUCGCCUGUGAUGAUAAUGACAGUAGCAGGUAAAGAAACCCCGGCUAACUCCGUGCCAGCAGCCGCGGUAAUACGGAGGGGGUUAGCGUUGUUCGGAAUUACUGGGCGUAAAGCGCACGUAGGCGGAUUAGUCAGUCAGAGGUGAAAUCCCAGGGCUCAACCCUGGAACUGCCUUUGAUACUGCUAGUCUUGAGUUCGAGAGAGGUAAGUGGAAUUCCGAGUGUAGAGGUGAAAUUCGUAGAUAUUCGGAGGAACACCAGUGGCGAAGGCGACUUACUGGCUCGAUACUGACGCUGAGGUGCGAAAGCGUGGGGAGCAAAC
rnacentral:rRNA from 1 species